rnacentral:rRNA from 1 species
UACGAAGGGGGCUAGCGUUGCUCGGAAUCACUGGGCGUAAAGGGUGCGUAGGCGGAUUGUUAAGUCGGGGGUGAAAUCCUGGAGCUCAACUCCAGAACUGCCUUCGAAACUGGCGAUCUUGAGUCCGGGAGAGGUGAGUGGAACUGCGAGUGUAGAGGUGAAAUUCGUAGAUAUUCGCAAGAACACCAGUGGCGAAGGCGGCUCACUGGCCCGGUACUGACGCUGAGGUGCGAAAGCGUGGGGAGCAAACAGG